rnacentral:tRNA from 1 species
GCCUUAGUGGUGUAGUAGUCAGCACGCUCGACGCGUAAUCGAGAGGUCAGUGGUUCGAUUCCCGGCGAGGGCA